rnacentral:tRNA from 1 species
AAUGAAUUGCCUGAUAAAAAGGAUUACCUUGAUAGGGUAAUAUUAUGUAGAAUUCUACAUUCAUUGAU